AUUGAACGCUGGCGGCAGGCCUAACACAUGCAAGUCGAACGGUAACAGGAAGAAGCUUGCUUCUUUGCUGACGAGUGGCGGACGGGUGAGUAAUGUCUGGGAAACUGCCUGAUGGAGGGGGAUAACUACUGGAAACGGUAGCUAAUACCGCAUAACGUCGCAAGACCAAAGAGGGGGACCUUCGGGCCUCUUGCCAUCGGAUGUGCCCAGAUGGGAUUAGCUAGUAGGUGGGGUAUCGGCUCACCUAGGCGACGAUCCCUAGCUGGUCUGAGAGGAUGACCAGACACACUGGAACUGAGACACGGUCCAGACUCCUACGGGAGGCAGCAGUGGGGAAUAUUGCACAAUGGGCGCAAGCCUGAUGCAGCCAUGCCGCGUGUAUGAAGAAGGCCUUCGGGUUGUAAAGUACUUUCAGCGGGGAGGAAGGGAGUAAAGUUAAUACCUUUGCUCAUUGACGUUACCCGCAGAAGAAGCACCGGCUAACUCCGUG
rnacentral:rRNA from 1 species